rnacentral:rRNA from 1 species
UACGUAGGGGGCAAGCGUUGUCCGGAAUCAUUGGGCGUAAAGCGCGUGUAGGCGGCUCGGUAAGUCUGCUGUGAAAGUCCAGGGCUCAACCCUGGGAUGCCGGUGGAUACUGUCGAGCUCGAGUCCGGAAGAGGCGAGUGGAAUUCCUGGUGUAGCGGUGGAAUGCGCAGGAUAUCAGGAGGAACACCGGUGGCGAAGGCGGGUCUCUGGGCCGACAUUGACGCUGGAGGAGCGAAAGCGUGGGGAGCGAACAGG